UGACGGGGUUACCCAAAGUGUUCAAUUUUGAACUGUGGUAGGUGAGUAAUGUUCCCUACUAGAAAGGAGAGGGCAAGGCUGGUGCCAGCCGCCGCGGUAAAACCAGCUCUUCAAGUGGUCGGGAUAAUUAUUGGGCUUAAAGUGUCCGUAGCCGGUUUAGUAAGUUCCUGGUAAAAUCGGGUAGCUUAACUAUCUAUAUGCUAGGAAUACUACUAUACUAGAGGGCGGGAGAGGUCUGAGGUACUACAGGGGUAGGGGUGAAAUCUUAUAAUCCUUGUUGGACCACCAGUGGCGAAGGCGUCAGACUGGAACGCGCCUGACGGUGAGGGACGAAAGCCAGGGGAGCGAACCGGAUUAGAUACCCGGGUAGUCCUGGCCGUAAACGAUGCAUACUAGGUGAUGGCACGGCCAUGAGCCGUGUCAGUGCCGUAGGGAAACCGUUAAGUGUGCCGCCUGGGAAGUACGGUCGCAAGG
rnacentral:rRNA from 1 species